rnacentral:ncRNA from 2 species
AUGUUAUCAAGAAAGGUAGAGGGAUUAGACCCAGAGAAACCUUGGCAACCCUUUAUCUUGUAAAGAAGGUGCUACGUUCUACUGCUUGUGCUGAGUUUAUUUCAGGAAUCAAUCAGACAGAUAACGA